rnacentral:pre_miRNA from 1 species
GUAUUACUCCCUCCAUUCCAUAAUUCUUGUCGAAAUAUUACAUCUAUCUAGAUGCUUUUUAAGAACAGAUACAUCCAUUUUUGGGCAAAUUUGAGACAAGAAUUAUGGAACGGAGGGAGUACUAA